CGCAUAAUGUUUGUAAAUUUGUCUACCCACAACUUUGUAUGUAAAUGUGUACAAUUAUUGCUUCAUGCGAAAUCUUCGUUUCACGGGCAACCAAUGGCUGAAGCUUAAGUUUUUUCAAAGAGUCAAUGUGUCGAAACUCAAAGAGUCACUCCCGGAACGCAUUGAGCGGGGGAGACUGCAAGCGACAUCUGUCAAAUAUUAAAAUAUACACGUUCAUAUGGACACAGUUAUGUAGUUGUGCAGCUGUCUAAAUAACUGUGUCCUUAAGAAUGUGUGUAUUUCAAUAUCAGAUUCAGAUGGCGCUUGCACUCUGUCGCGUUCUAUGUGUUCAGCACAUAAAUCUGUCGAAGCACUGACGCGACCAGACGCGAAAGAAACUAACAAACGAUCGCCGAUUGUUACCGCUUCCCUUGCCGCUGUAACAGCUUUGCGUUCCAACGUGCGUAAAUAUGUAUGCAUAUGUAUGAGCUUGCAUACAUAUCGACGCGGAUUUUUGCGAGUCACGGAAAAAUAUUUUAGACAAAUAUUAUAAAUCGACAACUCCUAUGUUGCCACUUUUGUCACUUCUUUCUGUGAAGAAGCAUCAGAAAGAUGUUCAAUUUAUGAUUUUUAGCUUUUGCCAUCGUCGCGAAAAGACGCUUGUUGGCAAAGGCCUGCUCGGGGAGAUGUAAUGGUGGCUACUUUUAUGAAUGAAGCGAGGUCGCUUGUGGCAUAUGCCCCUGCGUUUAUGAAUGAAAUCGUUUUUGUUGUAAAAUUUACUACAUUUGGGCUUCGCCAAUUCGGCUGUGAUAUUGACUUGUGACGUUGCCAAUGCUAUAUUAGACGAUUGUUGUUUUUGUAGAACAAUAUUUGUACUUUUUGCGGGUGACAUAUCUACAUGUGAACGCAUAUAAGUAUGUAUGUUGUGUAUGCAUUAUUUGUGAGGGAAUGCCAUACGCACAUAUUUACAUGUGUACGCAUAUAAGUAUGUAUGAUGCUAUUUGAAACAAUUCUUGUUUUUGUAAAGCAAUGUUUGUAGUUUUUGUGGGUGACAUAUUUACAUGUGUACGCAUAUUUGUAUGUACAUAUAGAGCAGUGCGCGCACACUUUUUUACUGAUAAAUGAUAAUAUUACGAUUUGAAUUUGAAUUCUACCUACAUAAGUAUGUAUGUAUGUAACUAUGUGCUAAUAUCUAGAUGCAUAUGAAAAUUUAAAUUAUGAAGUGUGAUUUACAUAUAAUAUUGUUGUAAUAUAUAGUAUUAAGUGUUUUAGGGUAUCUCAUAUACAUAUGUAUAUAGCAUAUGUAUGUAUAUACAACCAUAUUCAUACAUAUUUAUAUGAAAUUAUAUAAUAUUAUCAAACAUUAUAAAUAUUUAAUAAAUAACUCUUAUUCGCACAUUAACUACAAAUAUAGUUUUGAAAAAUGCAUAAUUUUAUUAGAAUGUUAUCAGUUUUGCAUGCAUUCAGAAAAAUAUGCAAAAUGAUAAUCAUAUCAAUUAAUAUGAUUGCAUGUAAACGUAUAUAAUUAUAUCCAAGAGAAUAACAUACGUCUGUAAUAAGAAUGUAUAUUUCUGAGCAUAAUUUUCAUUGAAUGCUCAGCUCUGUUCACGCGCCACUGUUAAAGUUUCUCCUUCUUAGCUAGCUGUGGUGAAACACGCUCAUCGCAUUUUGUUAGCUUUUGACAGUUUACACGCCUGUCCGUUGUUGGACCUUCUCUGUAAAUAUACGUUCUCUGACUGAAGUACUUUCGCCUAGUACUCUUUCUACGUUGAAAAUAAAAAAAUAUAUUGAAUUUUUGUUAUAAAGUGGUUAUAAUUUAUGGUUAUCAUGCACUCAAAAUUUAAGUUUUCGUUAUAAAAUGGUAAAUUUUGGUUAUUAUAUCUGUCAGCGAUUUCCAUUUAUUUUUGAUGAUGCAUUGGUUUGUAUUUUAGGUGACAAUAUAUAUAUUAUUAUAUUUAAAAUAUGAGUUUGAGUGCAUAAUAACCAAAAUAUAUAACUACUUUAUAUCCAAAACUCAAAUUUUGUUUCAAUAUGAGUGCAUAAUGACCAAAAAAUAUAACCACUUUAUAUCCAAUAUUGAAAUAAAAUUUAAGUUUUCGUUAUAAAAUGGAUAAAUUUUGGUUAUUAUAUCUGUCAGCGAUUUCCAUUUAUUUUUGAUGAUACAUUGGUUUGUGUUUUAGGCGACGACAUAUAUAUUAUUAUAUCUAAAAUAUGAGUUUUGGGUAUGAAGUUGUUAUAUUUGUCAGUUAUCAUGCACUCAUAUUGAAACAAAAUUUGAGUUUUCGUACUGCACUGUAUACUUUACACUUUAUUACGUAAUAUUAUUAUAUAAUAUUACUUAUUUGCUUAAUAAAUUUAAAAAAAAUAUCCAUAUGCAUUAAUAGAGGAAUUUUUGUGAAAAAGAGGAAUUUCAGCGAAUUGCCUUAUCAUCACAUGGCAGCGCUCCAUUUCGUCGUAAUGAGGUUCAAACAAGUGUAAAAUUUGAUUUUUAAAAUGAAGAUUUUUUAGGUAAAAAACCUUCCAAAAGUGUAAAAUGUAGAUUUAUUUUAAAGAUUAUAGUGCAAUUUAAUUAAUUUCAUGUGAAAAAUGUGAAAAAAGUGUGUUUAAUGUGGUGAAAUAGCUCCUUGAAAUGGUCCAAUUUUGCGAAUUUUUGAACUUUAAGGCCGAAUAUCUCCUAAACUAAGCGUUUGCGGACCCGUAUGUUUUUUAAUCAGGAGGACUUCUUCUUUCCAACGGUGCCUUCAAAUUGCGGCGCCAAAGAAAUCGGAAUUGUGCCAAAGGCUCCAUCCAAACUCCACAUUGGUCAGGUGUAAUACAUGCAAUGGAUAGAGCCAUCUUAAAACCUGCUCAGGUCUUAAGACUCACAGGAAGUGGACCACGCGUAACGUGGCCCCAUGUUGCCUACGCAAUACUGGGACACAAGCCUCUACGGCUGUGCAAUUUGCACAUAGUUCGCGCGCCGCGCCGAAUGGCCAACAGAGGACCUCCACGGUCCCUAGGAGCUCAAUCUGCCAACAUGGCUCCCACUCUGACUCAUGAAUCGAGAACGUGUAUCGAUAGCUGCGGUCCAAGAAACCAAGCUAAACAGCCGUUCAGAUCUUCUGAGCUGUGUCGGUUUCAACGUGUUACGUAAAGAUCGUGAGCGAGAUAAAGGUGGUGGCCUAGCCUUCAUAAUGCACAACACCGUGCAGUAUCACAGGAUAUAAAAGGAAUAAUAGAAAAAAUAGGUGCGCUACUUCGUGGGGAAAACAGUUUGGUACUAGGCGACUUUAACGCGCACUACGAUCUUUGGCAUUCCAGUCUGUCAAAUGAUCGUAGGGGGAUGGAGCUGGCGGAACAGAUUGACGAUGCGACAUUCUGCACAAUGAAUGACGAAGCCCCCAUCUGAGUUAUGUGCACCUGUAAUAGCUCGCCUGAUAUUACCAUUGCUCGUGGUGGUCUGAUAAAUAGCAUAACCUGGCGACCUGUGCUAACUCUCGCAUCAGACCAUCUGCCCAUAAUUAUCUCGAUCGAGAAACCUCCCGAUUUCGUUUCUAUGGGCAACCGUACCUUCAUUAACUUUAACAAAGCUAAUUGGGUCGGGUUCACAGAAUUUACUGAGAGCACCUUCAACGCUCUACCUAUUCCUACGGACUUAUGCGUUGGCGAACGUCAAUUCCGCAAGGUGAUUGCAGCAGCUACCGCUCGCUUCAUCCUGGCUGGAAGAAUAGCGGAAAUCGGCCUCAAUUUCCCAGCCGAAGCAGCCGUUUUAGCUAACGAGGGAUCUCAAUUUGGAGAUUCGGCGUAUGGUAAACCACCAUAAGCGGGCUAAAUGGAUAGAGCACCUGAAGUCCUACAACCUCACCAUCGAUGUGAGUAAGCUUUGUGCUACUGUCAAAUCUUUGUCUAAUACGAAGAGACAUGACGACCGAGUUGAAGUUGAAUUCAAUGGUCAUGCCUCUUCGGACCCGAAGAAGUGCGCGAGCUAUUUUAGCCGGCAGUUAACACUGCACCCUUCGGUAGAUAAAGCUAAAAGACGUGUUAACAGGCGGCUGCGCAAAGUGCCAAACGUCUGCGCGCCGCUUACUUUCACCGAUGAGGAGGUUCAGAAUGUCAUCAAUAAAGCAAAAUCCUCUAAAUCCAUUGGCCCUGAUAGAAUUAACAUGCUAAAGCAAAUAGGCUCGACGGGAGUAAGUUAUCUCACCAAGGUCCUUAACCUGUCACUGACCCCUUUUUAAAUACCCGAUGUGUGGAAAAUCAGAUGAGUGAUCCCACUACUGAAACCUGGGAAACCCGCCAACAAAGGGGAAUUUUAUCGCCCGAUAACUCCUCUGUCCAGUAGUGAAGAUACUUGAGGCCUUGCUACUCCCGACUUUCACUCACCACCUGAGCCUACCCUGUGAGAGAACGAUCCUCGUAGCGUUGGACUUGUCAAAAGCUUUUGACACAGGACUGAAAAGGUGGACUAUGAACUACCUGAACGGUCGUCAGUCAUCCGUACUAUUUCGAGGUGAAACACCUAAACUGAGAAGAAUUAAACAGAGGGUUCUGCAGGGUGGCGUCCUCUCUCCGUUACUGUUUAACUUCUACAUCUCCAAGCUCCCGCAACCAUCAGAGGGGGUUUCCAUAACCUCGUACGCAGUUGACUGCAUGAUAUUGACGUCGGGCAAUGGAAUCGAUGGCAUGUGUUCAAAGGUAACUACCUCUUCGACAUUUCUCGUUUUCUCACUGCACGAAACCUCACACUUUCCUCCACCAAAUCCACAGCGACCAUAUUUACGAACUGGACGAAGGAGGAAGGAACUUAAUAUUGCAGUCCUAACCCUAAGGUUUUAGGUAUAAUCUUCAAUAGCCUGUGCUCCUUCUCUCCCCAUACGAUCGCGCUUUUCGAUAUCCUCAAGUCGCUAGCCGGCAGCACCUGGAUGAAAGACAACGAAACGUUGUUGGCAACUUACAAGGCAAUCGGCCGGCCGGUCCUUAACUACGCAGCACCAAUAUGGUCGCCUGGAUGCAGUGGUACACAGAUGAAGAAACUUUAGACCUGCUAAAAUACUGCAUUCCGGACCACGACGGGAUGCCUUUUGCAUAAUGAACUCCUCUCCAAGCAGUUCCUGCUGGGAUGUUUUCACCCUUGCAGCCAUCUGCUUGUAGCGGACUCGGUACUGACCGCCAUUCACAGUGGAACCAUCAACACCUUCACCGACUCCGUUCCCGUGAAUGGCGUUCUUGGAGUCAAAUCACCACUUAUCGCAGACGAAGAGCUUCAGUUGCCGCAAGAAACGGGAGUGACCCUAGCGCAACUUCGUUCUGGAUAUUGUAGUAGGUUAUAUUCCUACUUAUCCAGAAUAGACCCCGACAUACCCAAUGUAUGUCCUGCAUGCAACGUGUCUCCGCAUGAUACUGACCACCUCUUUGUAUGCCCUACAAACCCCACUCAUCUAACACCCUCCUCGCUUUGGUCUGAUCCCGUCGAAACAGUACGUUUCUUAGGCCUCCCGUUAGAUGACGACGACGGCGACGCAAAUGACCCUUACCAUCCCAACGGGGAUUAGAUAACCGUUAAAACAACAACAAUAAACGCCACGGCGGAAAGAAGGACGUCACAAAAGAACCAUGAAGUUAUUGUUGGACUAACCUUGGUUAGUUUUUGGAAGCCACAAUUCCGAUUACUUUGGCGGCCGGAUAAAAAGCACGAAUUUCGGUAUAAGUGGAGUAUCUGCUGAUAGGGAAGCUUCUCCAGAUUAUAAAUAUGUAAAAAUAAUGUUUUAUACACUUACUCGUUUUAAAAUAUUCUCGAUUAAGGGGUUACAUGGGUUUCACAGUUUCAAAAAAUCUAAAAUUUUUUUUGUCUUAUUAAAUUCUAUCUCUAGAAUAUUGUCCUAAAUUUUCAAGUUGAUCCGACUAAUAGUUUCGGAGAUACAGUCUUGAAAAGGUGGGCACUCGAGGUCAGGUAUAGGCUGAGGGCGCAGUAGGUAAAAUUGUUAGCCGUAAUUCUUGUCCCUUUUUUUCUUUAUGUAGGGUAAACUACUGGAAAAUAUUUCAUUUGGUGAUUUCUCGUUAAACUACCAAGUUCAUUUUGAGGUUAUAAGUGUUUGUUGUGAAUUUUAUUUGAUAAAAAAUGCCGUUUAAAGUGUCUAGAACCCAGAUAACGGAAGGUGUUCGUAGAAAAGAUAGACCUAAAAAGAGGAAACAAUCGUUUAAUCUAAAAAAUCCUGAGGUAGAUGAUAAUUCUUUCACGAGUACGUCGGCAAAAAAAUUAAAAGGCGAUGACAAACAGCCCGUGCCAGAGGUAGCCACGUUGCUCUGGUUUUUUCUACACUUUCGUGUUUUGUACGGUGUUCCAACAUUAUUGAACGUGGAGGUGAAGAAAAAUUUUGUAAUGGAAAAGUAAAUUUUAAACAAUGCUCCAAAUUCGGUCUGGGAUUUAAACUUGUGGUAGAAUGUGAACGUUGUAUGCCAAAAUAUAUAUAUAUAUAUGUCAAAAAGUUGGCAGAAUGUAUGAACUAAAUCGGCGGUUCAUUUUUGUUAUGCGAGUAUUGGGUUUGGGUCUUGCUGAAUGCAAGAAGUUUUAUGGUUUGAUGGAUCUAAGCAGCUCCUUUUUGAAUCAAUCAUAAUACGACUUUUAUAUUAAUAAAAUACAUGAAUGUAUUACCAUAGUUACUGAGAAACUGUUCUCCUCUGCUGCUACAGAGGAAAAGCAAUUGACAAGUUUAGCAAACAACAUGGAAGAUACGACAGAUGUGACUGUCUCCGGUGAUGGGACGUGGAAAAAGCGUGGUUUUGCAUCACUUUAUGGUGUAAGUUCUCUAAUUGGAUAUCAAUCAGGAAAAGUCUUGGAUGUCAUUGUUAAAUGUUCAUACUGUAAACUAUGUGAGUCUUGGAAAAAAAAUUAGAUACGGCAGAGUUUGAAGAGUGGAAAGAAGAACACAUCGAAAUUGAACAAUGUACCGCCAAUCACACUGGAGCAUCUAGAAACAUGGAAGUAUCUUCAAUUAUUGAAAUGUUUAAACGUUCUAUUGUAAAACAUGGCUUGAGGUACGUAAGUUAUAUAGGUGAUGGAGAUUUUAAAACAUACUCUGGUAUUCUCAAAGCCAAACCUUAUGGUGAAAAUUUUGUUGUCAAUAAGAAAGAAUGCGUUGGCCACGUACAGAAGAGGAUGGGAACCCGGUUGCGUGAUUUAGUGAAGAAAACUGUUGAGGAAAAAAUAGUCAAUGGCAAAAAACUCAAAAAAAAAAAAAAUUCUUUCUGGUAAAGGUAAAUUGACUAGUAAAUUGAUUGACAAAUUAACUGUACAUUAUGGCUUAUCGAUAAGAAGAAACAGUGAUUCAGCUGAUAAAAUGAGGGAUGUGAUAUGGGCAACUUAUUACCACUACAGUUCUACAGACAAAAACCCGCAGCAUCAAAAUUGCUCUGAAGAUCCAGACACGUGGUACACCUGGCAGCGAGCAUCAGCAUCAGGUACUCUCUCAUCGUUCAAACACCAAUAUACUCCACUACCAGAUGAUGUUUUGACUGCAAUGAAAUCGAUUUAUAAAGACCUGAGUAAGGAUGAGCUUUUGGAGCGGUGUGUUGGAGGAUUUACACAAAAUAACAAUGAAAGUUUCAAUCAGUUGAUUUGUAAAAUUACUCCCAAAAUACUUCCAGCUGGGUCGAUAAUCGUUCAAAUUGCUGCAUUAAUCGCUGUUUGUAUUUUCAAUGAAGGAUAUCAGCAUUAUUAUUAAUUAUGCACGGUAUGGACCUAAAUCCUGGUCCAAAUUCCCAUGAAUAUGCCCGAAACAUGGAUGAAAACCGGGUGACCGCAGCCGAAAAGUAGUCUAGCAGCGAGACUCGUGAAGCAGGGAUUCGUCCUAGACUGGAGCAAAAGGAUGCCCUGGACAUUGCAGCUGCGGCAGGUUCUCUACUUUAUGGCCCAGGAAUCGACGAUUCAAUAUAAUUAUCUAUAAUAAUCCUGAAAGACAACGCUGAUGCAUCUUUUUUCCGAGGGACUGCCGGAAAUGGCGUUGUAAUGACUGCCAUUUUGAUAUUUUUUUUUUGAAAACUUUACAAAAUGUUUAUUAAAUAUGAGUCUUUUAAAUAAAAAAAAAAUU